GUGUCAGCCGCCGCGGUAAUACGUAGGGGGCGAGCGUUAUCCGGAAUUACUGGGCGUAAAGCGUGCGUAGGCGGUCAUGCAAGCUUGGGGUUUAAAGCUGCGGCUUAACCGCAGUGCGCCCUUAGAACUGUAUGGCUUGAGUGCAGGAGAGGAGAGUGGAAUUCCUAGUGUAGCGGUGAAAUGCGUAGAGAUUAGGAGGAACACCAGUGGCGAAGGCGACUCUCUGGACUGUAACUGACGCUGAGGCACGAAAGCGUGGGGAGCAAACAGGAUUAGAUACCCUGGUAGUCCACGCCGUAAACGAUGAGUGCUAGGUGUCGGGGGGUUUAACUCUUCGGUGCCGUAGCUAACGCAUUAAGCACUCCGCCUGGGGAGUACGGUCGCAAGACUGAAACUCAAAGAAAUUGGCGG
rnacentral:rRNA from 1 species